rnacentral:lncRNA from 1 species
UGGACCUCGUCGAACCUCAACUAAAGGCCAAACUCAAAUCAAAUUUCACCUCGAAUUAAAGAUUUCAACCCCGAUAUCUGUUCUACCAAAACUCGAUGGUUUUCCAAUGAGUUUUUAGAGUUGGGAUUGAUUAACCGACUAUUUUUGUUGUUGUUUCAAUGUUUUGGGGAUGGGAUGGGACUGGCAGCUUCACCGGAGCUCUGGAAAGCUCAGUGGUAGCCGAAAUUGAGAACGCGACUGGUGGCGACAAAGUUUUCCUAUGAAAACUCAUCCAAAUUUCCCUUUUGCACGUUUUCUCUCUGUUUUUCUCUAAUAUCGCCUACCCUGAUCUCUGUUUUUCUCAAAUCUCUCCCACCCCAAUCUCUCUCUCUCUCUUUAAUUUUUCUUUAUUCCUCGAUUGUGUUUCUACUCUUCUGAUAGGUCUAUGUGUGUAAGUGUGUGCUAGAUGCAUGAUUUGGUUAUGAAUUGUGAGAAGAAAGUGGUGUGGGUCUGUUAAUGAUGUGGUGCCCAUUUCUUUGUGUCAAUGAUGUGGAGAAGAAGGCCAAAAUGGAGGCGCCCCUAUAUUGAUAUUGUGAAUGGUGGGUUCGUGUAUGUGAAUGAUGGAGGAGUGUGUCUUCCUUCUUCUCUGUGUGUAAAUAAUUGAUUGAGAAAAAUGGAGGUCCCUUUUACUCUCUAAUCAUUUUUUUUCAAAAAAAAAAAAUGAGUGUAGUCUAUUGUUAAUUGUGUUAUUGCAGUUGGAAAAAGUGGAGUGGGCUCGUGGGUGUGUAAGUUUAGUUGGUAGGAUUAGGUGAUGCUAAGUGGAGUAAGGAAUAGGUAGGGGUAGGGUAGGGUGUAGGGAGAGGUAAAUGAGUAAAUAUUAAUUUUUAAGGCGGAUAAAAUUAUGUGUCUAUAUUAUGUCCCUUUUUGGAUGUAAAUACAAAGUGUUUUCAUACAAAGAAGUAGACAACGAGACAAAAUUUUGACCAACCAUUAUUUAGAAGAAAGAAACAGAAGGAAGAAGGGCAACCGAGUCUUGAUUUGGCUAUCUUACCUAUCCUGAGUUAUGAGAGAGUCAAGUCACAUAUAGUUCCAGGGUUUAAAAGGAGAUGGACUAUACCGAGUUGGAGAGUCGAGUGAGGUCCCAUUGAGGUUUCGAUCCACGGCCCUAUCAUUACAUCAAAAUGAAAUUGCAAGUUAAAAAGAUAAAUAAAAUUACAAAAGACUUAUCUAUACGACAUCUCUUGAUUCUUGUCUCGGGUCUCCGAUGCUUUCAAAAGUGACAAAAGAUCUGAUCUUCUUUCAGUUGAACUUAAAGAUAGAUUCUUUCUCCGUACAAAAUUUGGUGUUGGAGAUGAACUCAAAGUUGGCCAUGUUCUGCAAGUGGUAUUUCUGAACUUAAACCUGAAUUUAAAAUUCUUCUCCCUAUUCUUCAGGCGGGUUCCUGACUUACAAUUUUUACCCUGUUGCUUGGCUUUUCAUUUAUUCACCUUGUUUCUUGAAUUUCAAUUUCAUCACCCCAUUCUUCAGACGGGCUCCUGACUUGCUAUUUCAUCACCUUUCAAUUUUAUCACAGUGUUCUUCAGGCAGGAUCCUGACUUGCUAUUUCAUCACUUUUUAGUUUCUUUACCCUGUUCUUCAGGCGGGCUCCUGACUUUUAAUUUCAUCACCCUAUUCUCCAGGCGGGCUCCAGAAACCACAUUAAAACUAGAAAGAAAAAUAUCCCAAAUGCAUGUUAUGACAAAGAAAGAUUUCCUUUUUUCUGAAAGUAAUGUCUCAUUUUUCAGGAGGGUCCUGAACAUAAAGUAAAUUCUCAUUUUCUAGGAGGGUCCUGAACAUAGAAUAAAUUCGUAUUUUUCAGGAGGGUCCUGAACAUAAAUUAAGUUUUUCAUUUUCCAGGAGGGUCCUGAACAUAAAUUAAAUUCCUAUUGUCCCGAAGGGUCGUGAACAUAAAGUAAAUUCUCAUUUUCCAGGAGGGUCCUAAACAUAAAGUAAACUCCCAUUUUCUAUGAGGGUCUUGAAUGAAAGUAAGUUCCCAUUUUUCGCGAGGUUCCUGAACAUAAAGUAAAUUUCUAUUUUUCAGGAGGAUCCUGAACAUAAAGUAAGUUCCCAUUUUCCAGGAAGGUCCUGAACAUAAAGUAGUGUCCCAUUUUUCAGGAGGGUCCUGAACAUAAAGUAAAUUCCUAUUUUUCAGGAGGGUCUUGAAUGAAAGUAAAUUUCCAUUUUUCAAGAGGGUCCUGAACACAAAGUAAAAUUCUCAUUUUUUAGGAGGGUCCUAGACAUAAAAUAAAUUCUCAUUUUUUAGGAGGUUCCUGAACUGAAGUAAAUUUCCAUUUUUUCAGGAGGGUCCUGAACAUAAAAUAAAUUUUCAUUUUCUAGCAGGGUCUUGAACUGAAGUAAAUUCCCAUUUUCCAGGAGGGUCCUGAAUAUAAAGUAAGUUUCCCAUUUUCCUGGAGGGUCCUGAACAUAAGUUAAAUUUCCAUUUUCCAGGAGGGUCCUAAACAUAAAGUAAAUUCCCAUUUUCCAGGGGGGUCCUGAACAUAAAAUAAAUUCUCAUUUUUUAGGAGGGUCCUGAACAUAAAGUAAAUUCUCAUUUUCCAGGAGGGUCCUGAACACAAAGUAAUAUCCCAUUUUUCAGGAGGGUCACAGAUGUACUUUUCCAAUGGUCGCUAAAUUAAGUGGAGCAAAUAUGCCCCUAUUUGAACAAAGAAAAUUUGUCAGUUAAAAACUUAGUGGUGGCUUGUAGCACUUGGCUGUCCCGACACCUGCUCUAGUGUUCAUUCCCUUUUUUAUGUUUCAGAUUGCUAGCACUUUCCUCUGCUUUGUCACGUCAUUGACCCAAACUCAGAUUAAUAAGAGUGACUCUAAAAUAAACACAGUAUCUCUGCUUUGUCAUGCUUCUCGAAUAAACCCUUUAAACCUUGAUAUUUCCAUGAGUUCCCAGACUUGUCUGUCGACAAAACUUUUGCAUGCCUUAUUUCAGCUCACAAUCAUGUCCCUUUCAUGUGCUGGCCUUUUGUUUUGCUUUGUCCAAUUGAAGAAGCUGGUAGCUAGUUUUGAAAUUCUUUCUCACUUGUUUUGACAUGGACUAGACAUAAAGACAAGAGAAAAAAUGACAAUGAUUCUUUUCAUUUGGAUAACUGACUCAAGAAAAUACAAUAAAAUAUAGAGAAGAAAGAAAAGACAAUGAACGUCCCCAUUUGAAAAAGAUAAAAGAAAAGUUUAUCUAAAAAUAACAGUCAACUCUAAUAAUUAUGACAUGCAUAUCGGAUUAAAUCGUCUGAUCUUUCUAUCCAAAACUCUCACAAAUUAUUAUUAAGUUAAUGACCCUGAAAUUGAGUUGGUUCCUUGGGCCAAUUGCAUUCGGAGACCUCAUUCGGCUAAUGGCGCCUUGAAAGGUUUUUGCCAACAAGCCUCUCUCAUUUUCUUUUUAUCACCAUUGCCUUAUGGUAUCCGAGAGGGUUUUUCACUAAUAAGAUUGUCUUAUUUAUAUCUUUCUCAACUCACAGUCGUCUUACAGUGCCCGAGAGGGUUUUCACCAAUAAGACUCUCUCAUUUUUAUUUCUCUCCAGGUUGCUUAUGCAGAAGAAGACAAGUAGUACCAAAAUGCAUCAUCACAUUCAUUGCAUGCUUAGCCUUAACAUUUUCAAAGAUUGAUCUGAAGGUCAUUCUUUAGUUGUAACUUGGCUUUUGGAUAUGGUUAGAAAGAAAGAAUGGCAUGAGGCCCAAACGACACUCGAAGUGGGUUGGGACUUACAAAUUUUAAAAUCGACUCAAAUAAUGAAAAUUAACUCAUUCCCCCAUUUCUUUUAACAGGGCAAUUCUAAAUUGUUUAUUUGGUUGGACCGAGCCCGGAGUAAGGCAGCCUAUGUAUCUCAUCCUCAAGAGAGGGAAUUAGGUCACGCGUAGUUCUGACAACUUGUUCCUUUGCUUGACUCUGAUUUUUUUGCUUUUUAUUGACUCUUUUUCUCUUUGGGACCUUUUCUGACUCUAUUUUUCUUGAUAUUCUUCUCUUUUCUUUCUUUUUGGACACAUUUUUCUCUCUUCUUUUUUUUUUUGAAACUUUUCUGACACUAUUAUUUUGCUCGACACUUUUCUUUUGAACUUUGCUGACUUUAUCCUGAUUCCAAAAGAGGGGUAUGAAAGAAAAUAGAACUAAAGCUCAAAUGGGGUAAACAAAGGAUGAUACAAUGUUCGGAUAGCAGAAUAAAAUGUCUUCGUCAUAUCAAUCCUUGAAAAUGCAAGUACAUGUCAUACAAUAUGAUAGUGAAAGAUGAAGAUCAUUUGUGAUAUUUUUUACAGCACUAAUUUUAACUGAUCCUGCACGUCACUACUUCUUCUGCAAACUUCGCUUUUGUUGUACAUUCCUCAUGCUUUCUUGGAACUGAUUUUUUUGUUCCUUUUGACUUAGGAUCACACAUCCACUAUCUGACCUAAUUGAGACAUGUCUUUCAAUUGAUGACCAAGUUAUUCUUGUGAUUCUCAAAACAAUUGCCUUAAUUUUCAAAGAAGGCUUCAACUUGUCACCAAAUGUCCCAGCACUCUACAUAUUUUCUCAGAUGCUUUUUUUCUAACUUUAGCCCUCUGAUUCAAUGUUCAAUCUUAAACUGGAUUUAAAAAUCUAGCUAAAAAUUCCACAAGUAUGUCAUAACACUAGAACCAACUUAAAAUGAACUAUAUAAAGUACACACAAAAACAACUUAAAAUAAGAUUGGACACCACAUUUUAUUAAAAGGAAAGAUAGAAGGGUUUAAAUAAAAAUGAUAGAGAAACAAAACAAGAUAGAUUCCGAACUACAACCCUAAAAUAAUUUGGAAAACAGACAGUAAAACAAAACAAACUACCAACAAUCCUCCCAAGUAAGAAAAAGAGUGAUUUUCCAAUUGCUAAGUUUGAUACCUUAGCCACUAAUUUUCACAUCACAUGAUUAGAGCUUUCUUCACUGUCAAUGUUCUGCACUAUAAUUGAUCUAUCUUAAGUCAUAUUUUCAAUUUCUCUUUUUAAAUCUUGACAAUCUUCAAUACUAUGACCUUGAGCAUCAGGAUGAUACACACAUCAUAUAUUAGGAUCAAAAUUUCUUGAACGCCGAUUAAGAGUGUACCCAAGAAGAGGAGUGAUCAUCCCCCAUUGUACCAAUAUAUGAAAUAAGCUGGCAUAUAACUCUUCAAUUGGUGUGAAGCUAUCUCUCGACUUCUGUCUUAUUUCAUUAUUUGGCUUGGAUUGAAAAUCAGGCCUAGAAGGGCUUUGGCAUGUUUGUGGAGUUAGAGAAAGAGUGGUGGAAGUAUUGGGAUGAUUUUGGCUUGGAAUGAAUUCUGAGUCAUGUUGCAGUAUAUCAACAACAGUAGGAAACUAACUUUACCAUUUUAGUGGAAAAAUCAAGCUAUCUAUAGGAUCAAUAGCGGGGAAUGGAGGAGGAGGCAACCCACUAGCCCAAGCUCGAUACAUUUCCGUCAUUUGUUGCCUUAGUCUCCUAAUUUCUUGCUUUAAGCUCUCAUGUUCCUGACUCUUUGUUUGAUCCAUGAUGCCAUUCUCUAUAUCCUUGUUGAACACAACUAAUCAUUCCUUGGAUUUGGUGUGAUGUGGAGUACUAGCCAGAAUGCCACAAUCCAACCACCUUAAACUAACUUAACAAUCUAACCACAAUCCAAUUAAUAUAUCCCAUGGUUUGACCACGAUCACUUGGUGAAGUAUAUCGGCUAGUAAGGCAAUAUGAAUAUAUAAACCCACAAAAAUACAUAAAAGAAUCAAUCAAACACACAAAAUAAAACAAAUAUAAAAUAUAGUGUCCAGUCCAAUUAAACACUCCAAAAAUAGAAAAAAUGUGAAAAUAUAAAUCCUAUUCUAAGCUAAUCCUAAAACUACGCUCCAAUGCCUUACCCGAUGCCUCGGGACUUCAUCACGAUCAUCUUCCAUCAACAUAAUACGUCGGGCAUUCCCCGGUGAAUAAAUACACAUGGCCUCAGGGCAUUCCCCGGCUAAAUAAAUACAUUUUCUCAAUACAAGGAAAAUAGAAAGUCAUUUACACCCACAUGCAACAUUCAACAAUCACAAUCCCUAUGUUUUGCCUACCUCGAUCUACCGUUUGCCUACUUAUUUAACAGCCUAACACAUAACACUAUCCCGUUCAACAAUAUUCAUACUUAAACCAAAUUAAACCAAAAUCAAUGAAUCUUAAUCCAUCCAGAUUCACCCUUUUUAUCAAUUUUUUAAUUUCGCUCUGAAUUCCCUUUUAACACUAAAUUUCCACCAUUCACGAUUAACAAUUUUAGCCAUCCACCAUCAAUAUAAUAUAACAUCCAUCAUUCACAUCACGCACAAAAUAAGAGAAAAAUUGAGACGAUAUCAAUCAAUCACAAAAAAAAUAAGAAUUAAUAAGAAUAAGAUUAGAGAGAUGGACCUUAAAUUGAGUGUUUCGAACUGUGAUUAUUAUUUCAUUGCACUUUUGAUGUCAAACCAAGAAACUGAUCGGAUCUAACGAACUGGACCUCGUCGAACCUCAACUAAAGGCCAAACUCAAAUCAAAUUUCACCUCGAAUUGAAGAUUUAUUCCCUAAUAUCUAUUCUACCAAAACCCGAUGGUUUUUCGAUGAGUUUUUAGAGUUGGGAUUGAUUAACCGGCUAUUUUUGUUGCUGUUUCAAUGUUUUGGGGAUGGGAUGGGACUGGCAGCUUCAUCGAAGAUUCGACAAGCUCAGCGGUAGUCGAAAUUAAGAACGCGACUGGCGGCGACGAAGUUUUCCGGUGAAAACUCAUCCAAAUUUCCCUUUCACACGUUUCCUCAUUGUUUUCUCUAAUCUAUCCCACCCCGAUCUCUGUUUUUCUCAAAUCUUUCCCACCCAGAUCUCUCUCUCUCUAAUUUUUCUUUAUUUCUCAAUUGUAUUUCUACUCUUCUGAUGGAUCUGUAUGUGUGAGUAUGUGUUGGAUAUGCGAUUUGGUUAUGAAUCAUGAGAAGAUAGUGGUGUGGGUCUGUUAAUGGUGUGGUGCCCGUUUCUUUGUGUUGAUUAUGUGGAGAAGAAGGCCAAAAUGAAGACGCCCCUGUAUUGAUAUUAUGAAUGGUGGGCUCGUGUAUAUGAGGAGUGUGUCUUUCUUCUUCUCUGUGUGUUAAUGAUUGAUUGAGAAAAAUGGAGGUCCCUUUUUCUCUGUAAUCAUUUUUUCCAAAAUAAAAAUAAGAGUGUAGUCUAUUGUUAAUGGGAAAAGGGUCAAAAAUACCCCUCUACUUUGAUUAAUUGGUUAACUUUACCCUUUAUUAUAAUAUGAGGUUAAAUUUACCCUUAGUAUUAUCAAACUAAACAAAGUUGCCCCUCAAUUGGAUGGAAUCCAUCUAAAAUAACUGAUUUCAAUAAACUUAACAAUUUUCCUUAUCUAAUAUGUUUUUAACCAACUAAAUCACCUAAUUAACUUAACCUUUUCCCCAAACAAACCCAUUUUCCCCAAAUUAACUAUCACCUUGUGCACCAGCACUGCUUAACCUUUUUCUUCAUUAAUUUGCAAUUGAUGUAAUAUCUGGAAAGUCCAAAGAUAAACCUCUUCAAGUAUACAAAAACCAAUCAAUUCCGACAAAAUAAUCAAAUGUGUCUGUGGAUUCAAUGUAAAACUUUUUUGAAUUGGUGGAGUCUAAUAUCUAUCUCUUUCCUUAGCUAUUUCCCUUCAAAUGUCUCCACAAAGUUUGACAAUAAGAAUGAAGAACCAAUGUCGAUUCUUGGUCGUAUAAUGCUUUCAUAACACAUUUUUGUCACUAUCCAUUUCGUCGCCUGAUUCCAUAUUGCUUCAGCGAUUACCAGAAGUCCAAAUCCACACCUGAUUGCUUCCAAUAAAACUAUCCAAUUGAUGUGGUAACCAAAUGAUAUCAAUGGCAAAGCAAUAAUGAUGUCACAACGAAAUAAACCUUUUGUCGAUACAUCACAAUGAAGAGGCAGAGUCACUCUCUGCUUCUUCACUUACUCUCUCUCUCUUUUCGCACUUAGCACACACACCCUACUAGAUAGAGCAGCUCAACAAUGGCUUACCCAAAUCGUCAGCCCUAAACAAGUCAUCAAGCGCUAAAAAGACAACUCUCUUUGCACUAGCUCCACC